AUGAAUGGUGCCUCUUCGCCCAGGCAGGAGGCGGUGGGGUUAAGGCAGGAAGCUUUUCUUCCAGCGCGGGGGCAGGUGCAAAUUUUUUUAGAAAAUUACAAAAAAAUAAGAAAGAAGAGAAAAAGGAUCUCGUCCAUCGACCGAGCAGCUCCAGCCUGUCAUCUCGUGCCACCCCGGGGCCGGACGCUGCUGCUGGCAGAGGAAGGCUCACGGUUGUGGGGUGGGAAGGUGCCCACGUCGCCCCAUUGUGGGGCUACCCGUCCCCUCCUGGGGGAGACGGCCUGGGGAGGGAGGAUGAGGAGGGAGAGGAAGAGGAGGAUGAGGAAGAGGAGAGGAAGAGGGGACGCUGAGCGAGGCGGGAUGGGGUGGGACUGGCUCAGGUUUCAGGCUGGCGCUGGGAGCUGGCUGAAUGCCUCUGGGAGCGGGUGGAGGGCAUCUGGGCUCAUCGCUUCCCCCUCUGCUUUCCUGCCCCGUUUUGGAGAAGGCAGCAAGGCCACCACACCGGCACGGGGAAGGCAGCAAGGACACGGUCCCGAUCCCGCUGGCACCCCGCAAUGCCUGGAUUGGGCCUAUUGGUGCGGGCAGGACACAGGUCCCAUCCCACAGCGCUCCCCGUGUGUCCCUGGGGUGGCACCUGAGCUCCUCUUUCCCAAGGGUGAAGUCAAGGAAGGAUUUUCCGGGCUCUCCAAAAACCACCAGAUUUGGGUUGGUGGUGUUCCCCUGUCUCCCCUCCAGGGGAAACCUUUCCUCCCCAUCUCAGGUGCUUCACAUCUGGGCCAUCUCCCUGAGCUUCCAGCCAGGGCCAGCCCCACAGCGCUGCGCACCCACGGGUCCCAGCUCCCCUCUUGGAGACCGAUAGAGCUGAUGGCCGUGGGGGCAUCCUGUGAAAUUUUAAAUAGAAAUGUGUUCAACCACCGGUACUGCAAGAAAAAGCCCGGCAAAGGUCUCUACACUCUUGAAGGCAACUGCAAAAGGACCCCAAAAACGUGUUGGGUUUUCUUGCGAAUUCUUAAGCCCCCCCCAGUGAUUUGGGGGCCCUGGUGUGCCCUUGGCUUUGGACAAGCCGAUCCCACGAGCAGCAGAAUUUCUGCCCCGGCUUUCCAUGCAGUCAGCAGCUGCCUCAGUACCUUUCUUUGUAGGUCUGCAGGAAGCCCGUGCCCCAAAACGUUUGUGUUUCACCUCGGUACAAAGCGGUGA
rnacentral:lncRNA from 1 species